UGUGAUGCUGCAGCUCCUGUAGUGUCUCCAGUCUCCAGUAAACAGCAGUCAUGGCGACAGUGGUCCAACCGCUCUCUCUGGAUCGAGAUGUUGCCAGGGCUAUCGAGCUGCUGGAGAAGCUGCAGGAGUCGGGUGACGUCCCCGGUCACAAGCUCCAAUCUCUGAAGAAGGUCCUUCAGAGUGAGUUCUGCACAGCCAUCAGAGAGGUGUACCAGUACAUGCAUGAAACAAUUACAGUGAAUGGCUGUCCGGAGUACCAGGCGAGGGCCACGGCUAAGGCCACAGUUGCAGCCUUUGCAGCCAGCGAAGGUCACUCCCACCCGCGGGUGGUGGAGCUACCUAAGACGGAGGAAGGGCUGGGCUUUAAUGUGAUGGGCGGCAAGGAGCAGAACUCACCAAUCUACAUCUCCCGCAUCAUCCCUGGAGGUGUGGCUGAGAGGCACGGUGGCCUAAAGCGAGGGGAUCAGCUCCUGUCUGUCAAUGGUGUGAGUGUGGAGGGCGAGCACCACGAGAAAGCAGUGGAGCUGCUGAAGGCAGCCAAGGACAGUGUGAAGCUGGUGGUUCGCUACACCCCCAAAGUGCUGGAGGAGAUGGAGGCUCGCUUUGAGAAGCUCCGCACGGCCCGGCGGCGCCAGCAGCAGCAGCUCCUCAUGCAGCAGCAGCAACAGCAGAACCUGACCUCUCAGCAGAACCACAUGUCGUAGGUGAGGCGCUUCAUUGCUUUAAGGGUGAGGGGUGGCAGGAGUCGGGACACCAGGAGCGCAAGGUGAAACACCACCAGAGAAGAGGAUGCUGUCAUGAAUGAGUAACCAGUCCCAGUACCGAAGUGCAUUGGUAGAGAGAAGUCUUCACAAAUAUUGCUUGGAGAGGGAACAGCAGGGGUGUGUUCAGACUUUUUUGACUGGGGUGGCACAAGUGGGGCAUGAAGUAUUAGUUGUACCAAUGGAUGCCUUACCAGUAUCUAGUAUUAAAACAGCUACAGCUACUGAAAGACAGUUUGGAGUGGCAGAGGUAAGGACAAUGGGAUGGUCAAUCAGAUCUCAGUGCCAGUGCCACCCCCGGUCCCCCCUCUGGAAACACGCCUGGAGAACAGUGUUCCUCAACCGCAUUUAACGCCUCGCAUUUUCACAUAGCUGCUUCUUUAAAGGCAUAUGGAAAAUAAAUUAUGGAAAGACCUGUACUAGUAGUUGCUUUCUUGCUGAGAGUUAGAUCGAUGUAUCAUAUCUGGAUGGUAGAUAUUAAGCUACAGCCAUAGUUUAGCAUAAAGACUGAAAGCUGUUUGCAGCAAAAUAGUUUGGAAAUAUAUUUAGUAAUAGUUUGGAUAGCACUGAAAACAAUUAAAACAGUUUAGAGGUGCUGGUAGGUAGAUAUUUUGCUGUUUUGCAUCUGCUUCCAAUCAUUAUUCUAAAGCAAAUUAAGUGUCUCCAGGCUGUAGCUUCAUAUUUAGCAGACAGAUUUUAGAAUCAAUUUUCUCAUCUAACUCUCUGCAAGAAACCUAAUGUAAGUGUAUUCCCCAAAAUGUCAAAACUAAUCUUUUAACAUCAAUUUUACUCAAAACAGCAAGUAUGGUCAAUUACUCACAUUGACUUAAAUUUUAUUUUAAAGUCAACAUUUCAGCUAACAACAGGCUCUUAAUUCUUGUAAAAUCACUGUAUAACACUGUCUCCUGUGGCUUAUUGCUUCACUGUUGUUUACAGUCCCAGUCUGGACAGCUGAGCCUGAUUUGGAUCUGGAAGGUCAGAUUGAGAUGAGCACAGAUUAUCUUUGAGCUUCAACAUUGAUUUUUUUUUUUUUUCAUUUGACAGACAGUAUUUGAUCUGAUAUGUAUGCUAUUUUAGGAUUUGAAUGUAUUAAAACAAAUCAAAAGGGGAUAGUGGAUACAGAUUACUUUUAAAGUAAGAAAUCAAUAAUAUGGCUUUUUAUUUAUGUACUUUAUUCCUUGCUUCAUUAAUUCUAUUAUAUUCAUUUUAUUUUAUGUCAUCUGGUCCAUUUUUUGAGUUUAUUGAUUAUUAAGCACUUUGUAAUUUAAAUGCAGAGUUGCUGAAAUGGUAAAAAGUAACAUUUUGCAAGCAUACAGCAAAGGAAUAUAAAUGGGGAGAGGUGAAGAGUUUUCUACUCCAUGCUCUGCUUUGCCUUGCCAUGCAGCUACUUUUAUUGGCUUGUGUGCAGGUAGCAGGCAUUUACAUCCCAGCACGAAGCCUUAUACCCCAGUGCAAACUUAGCUGCUGGUAUCCUCUGUGCAAACAUUACUGCUUCUGCUGUGUUCUGCCAGUGAUUCGGUUGUAAGGGCUGUAAAUUAUUCAAGCUUAAAACGAUUACAUCUGUGGCUCCUGCUCUGCAGGUUCGUGGAUAAGAUAGACCCUGCAAUGCUGUUACUUGGAAGCUAUAGCUGGAUGGAGGUUCUACAUACCUCUGCUGCUAGACAAUAUUUAUACAGUCCAAAUUUAGAACAAAGCUCUGCACUGCCAGUGACACUAAGACACAAACUCACACUUUCACUGUGUGAAAAUAGCAAAACUUAAAAGGAAGAAGAAACUUUUCAGACAACACUCAGACAAGCUACAUCAUAUCAUGCUACGGUUAAUUGUGCACAGACUUCUCGAAUUAUUCCCUGACGUAAUGGUGGCAGGCAUGUGUCCAAGAUCACUGUGGCACUGCCCGUUUGAUGCUUAGUCCCCAAGCGUAUCUGUUGUCUUGCACUUGGCACAGUGCAGCUUGGGAAGGUAUUUAGGAGCUUGUAACAGUGUGUUGCAGUGGAGCUACAGACAGGGAACUGAGCAGGGAUCAUGUUUUAUCAAUGCCGGCAUGCUGACCGCAGAGAUUUGCUUCGGCGGCCAAGAGGCUGCUGACCAAGUGACACGCACAAGCAGACAAGAAUGCAGCAUACGCCACUGGUUUGCCUGGUAUUCAUCUCUCUGUGUCACUGUCUCUCUGUCUGUGUCUUCUUUCCUCUCUCUGUCCACCACAUGCUAACCUUAGAUUAUAACUAGCGGGAGAUUGACGAUGGCUUUGAGCUCCUGAUCAAUAAGUAGCUUCCGAAAGUUCACUGCUGUUGUCAGAAAAUGUAUCACCCCACAUUUUUUAGAGCGUGUGCAGUGGGUAUAACUCUGAGUUGUGUUGUAUUGUGGUUCCCAGGGUCUGUCUUUCAGCAAAUUAUUGCAAGGCAGCAGCAAUAGAAUAAACAUAACCUCCCUAUAAUUGUAGCAAAAACAAAGCAUUCAUGGGGUCUCUCCUGCAUAAAUGCUCUCUGUGCAUGUGUAACACAGUGAGCAGUCACUAAAUGCCCCCACACUAGCUACCACUCUCUCUGCACUCUGGCGUUGCAAGCAACUCAGCAGAAUAUGCUUACCUUCCCAGGGGAAAGACAAGAGCAAAAAGAGGAAGUAGAGGUACCAGAAGAGCUAGAUAUAUAGUUCAUUUAAUAAAUAAAUUGUUAUACUUCCUGUUGACACACAUUACCUUCCCCCAGUGUGUACCACCUGUACCAAUUCUAUCGGAAUGUAUAUUUUUCUCCCAUUAAAAUCUAUUAGCAACACUUAAGAAGGUGUAAGAACAGUAGGAAUGUAACACCAGAAGCGUUAACAACAUGUACACAUCAAAUGAAAUGUUUGAAUCCACACAGGAUUUCACAGGAAUUUUAGCACAAGCAGGCUACACCCGACCACCCAGGUUGUUCCAAAAGAAGAAGAAGUGAAGGAAAGCGAGAAAAAAAAAGGGUGGAUCUCAAAGACCAUCUGUUUGUGUUGAGGAUCCCAAAGGAAUCUCUCCGGCGUGGAGGAAACCAACAAGUAGAAGACUCUUUUACUUACUCUCUCCCUUCCAGUGUACCACCGAUUACUGAGCAAAAACAAAGAGAGAGCCGCUUGUCCUGAAAUUGGUGCUUUGAAAAACAAGUGUGAGGGAGGCUAGCACUGAAAGUUGUCCAUUUUAACUUUGUAUUCCCUUUUAUAAGUUGUUCUCCCCGGUUGUGACUCUUACUGGAACUCCCUUUCUUGUGUUUGCCGUUUUGUUUACAGUCAUCCAUUUCUGAUUGCUUAUACCGAACAUCCAUCGCACCGUGGCACCUCUGCCAUUUUGCCAUAGAUAUCAUUUGUACAGUGGUGUUUCUAUUGAUUCCUCAACUGGUGCUUGUGUCUCCGUAUGAAUGACCAUUGGUUUUUUCUCUUUUUUUGUGUGUCGAACUUGUCCUGUUUUGGAUAAACGUGAACUCUUUUUUACCUUCUAUAUUGUAGCAGGAAAGAUUUUUUGUAUCUUGUAGGUUUAGCAAUAACACACAUUCUUCUGUUUUUACAUUUCACCACUAAAUUCAUGAUCGGAUACAUGCAUAUAUACAAAGUUUAUGGCAUAGGUGCAAAUGUAAAUCAUUGUAAAGCAAAACUGGGUCUUAUGUACUGUAAGGCAGCUUCUUUGUCCAAAUCUAUCCUAUGUGCCAUUUGAAGAGAUUAUUGAUUUCCAGGUGGCAUGAACAAUUAAUGUGCAAUAACUGCGAUCAGCUUUGUAAGCUACUCCCAACUGAGAUUUAUCCAGAAGAUAUAUGUUAGCGAGAGAUUUUAACGAACCAACCCUGAGAAAUGUCAACUGCGUCCUAUUCCCGACAGACAAAGAGAAUGUCACCAGUUUUCAUUUGAGUGGGAAUUAAAUCAAAAUAUUGCUAGAAUUAUGUUUAUUUUUCAGACGUGUCUAUUUUAUAGUUUAUGAGACCAGAGAUUUUAACAUGAAGUUUUAUUGUUCCUUUUUAAAUAUGAUGUAUUCUUUCUAAGAUUAUUAUUUGAAAUCUGUUUCAUUGUAUAACAGCUGAAUAUUAGCACAUUGUUCAUGUAGAUCUGUUCCCCCGCGUUUUUCUGUUUUGACAAUAAUUUUUCCUCUGUGGAGACAACAGAAAAUUCCGUUUUUAAAACUUCUCUCUACCAACCCAGUAGCAGAGCUAAAGUGGUAAAUCCGCCAGGUCUGUGUUUACUUUCCUAUCAUCUCCAUCUUUGGUGCUAAGCGCUCCUUGUUUCCUUUUGUUUGCCCUGCACUUCCCAGAAAUCACUUUUCUUUGUCGAUUCUUCGUGUGUUUUGUUUCUUUCUGUUCUUAUUUCAUUUUCUGUAGGUGGCGCUCUUUUCUUUGUUUUGUUCAACCAAUGCAGGUUUUACCGCUUAGGCUGUCUCUUCUUCUGUUUAUCCCAAGCAUAAAACGCAUUUACUUCCUGUAUGCUAGAGGAUUUUUCUGUUUUCCCCCCAAGGAGAGACCAUCCAGAUGCCGCAUGUUAAGUUUUCAUGAAAAUGUUGCAGAUUUAUUGACAGAAAGUGAGGAUUUAAUUUUCAAUUUUGAUCUACAUGACUAAUUCUCUACAUCUAAUUGCACAAGUCCAGCAUAAUACGUGCCACGCUGCCAGAUAUUGUCAUUUUACUAAAUAACCUGCUAGCACUAAGGUCAGUUAAUGCUAAAGCUUUUCCAUUAGGUCACCUCUGUGCUCGGGUUAUUCAAAAGUUUUUGAAUCGCUCACUCUUCAAGCAGAACAUCUCAAUACAACAGAUCCCUUUUUGUAUCUUUAAAUCACAGGUACUCUUUCUUAAUUGACUUAACAUUUUUGAAGCUGAGGGUCCCGUAAUUACCGUAAAGAUAAAAAAAAGACAACAAACUGUUGAUAUGCAAUUGUUAUACAUACUAUAUUUGUAUAAAUAAAUCUAUGUGCUUGUGUACAGUGAA